rnacentral:rRNA from 1 species
GUGCCAGCAGCCGCGGUAAGACGAGGGGUCCUAGCGUUGUUCGGAAUCACUGGGCGUAAAGCGUAUGUAGGCGGCUUGACAAGUCGGGUGUGAAAUCCCAUGGCUCAACCAUGGAACUGCACUCGAAACUGUCGAGCUUGAGUAUUGGAGAGGAUGACAGAAUUCCUGGUGUAGUGGUGAAAUACGUAGAUAUCAGGAGGAACACCGGUGGCGAAGGCGGUUAUCUGGCCAAAUACUGACGCUGAGAUACGAAAGUGCGGGGAUCAAACAGGAUUAGAAACCCCGGUAGUCC